rnacentral:rRNA from 1 species
GACGGGGGGCGCAAGCGUUGUUCGGAAUUACUGGGCGUAAAGGGCGGGCAGGUGGUCUGUUAAGUCGUUUGUGAAAAUCCGGGGCUCAACCCCGCGAAAUGCUGACGAUACUGGCAGACUAGAGAUCGGUAGAGGCUAGCGGAAUUCCUGGUGUAGCGGUGGAAUGCGUAGAUAUCAGGAAGAACACCCGUGGCGAAGGCGGCUAGCUGGGCCGAGUCUGACACUCAUCCGCGAAAGCGUGGGGAGCAAA